GACGAACGCUGGCGGCGUGCUUAACACAUGCAAGUCGAACGGAAAGGCCCUGCUUUUGUGGGGUGCUCGAGUGGCGAACGGGUGAGUAACACGUGAGUAACCUGCCCUUGACUUUGGGAUAACUUCAGGAAACUGGGGCUAAUACCGGAUAGGAGCUCCUGCUGCAUGGUGGGGGUUGGAAAGUUUCGGCGGUUGGGGAUGGACUCGCGGCUUAUCAGCUUGUUGGUGGGGUAGUGGCUUACCAAGGCUUUGAAGGGUAGCCGACCUGCGAGGGGGACCGGCCACAAUGCGACUGAGAUACGGCCCAGACGCCUACGGUAGGCAACAGUGGGGAAUAUUGCACAAUGGGCGGGAGCCUGAUGCAGCAACGCCGCGUGCGGGAAGACGGCCUUCGGGUUGUAAACCGAUUUCGCCUGAGACGAGGCGUGAGUGACGGUAAUGGGUAAAGAAGCACCGGCUAACUACGUG
rnacentral:rRNA from 1 species